AGCACGCCCACUUCAUCAAGGAAGUUGAAAUGGAAAAAGAUUAUGUGUUGUCAAUUCAGGUGAAAGUCAAGAAACAUCAGUGGAAACAAAAAUCUUCCUUUUAUUGAAACCAUUCUACACUAUGGAACAUUUUUAUAAAUAGUACCAGCGGCAUUGCAUAGCUUUAUUUUGAAGCAAGAAAGAGACUUCAAAGAUCAGCUUAUUCAACCCUCUAUAAAAGGAUUUAUAGAUUCCUUUUAUUUAAUAGGGUGAUUUUCUCAUGAGUUUUCACCAUGUUUAAAAGACACUGUGCCCCACUCUCAUCCCAAGGUCUAUGGUCAACUUGACUCAAUGCUCAUAACUUUCCUCGCUGAUUCCUGCUUAUCCUGCUCCUCCAAGCACAACUGCAUUUCCCAAAGGUAGAUCCAGUAAGCAAUACUCUCAAAGCACCCACCCUAUGCACACCAGUUUCCCUCAAGGGACUCAAAAGGAAUCGAGGUAGACCCUUCUCAGAGGCUGUUUAACUACAGACACAUCAGGAUAUGUACUAAUACCCAAAACCAAAACCACCACCAAUGACUGCAAUAGAUUCACUGUCUAGACCCAAGGUCCAGGCAGUUUCCCUUUUUUGCAUUUCCCCAACAUAUAAAGAUAAUUUCCAACAUAUCAGAUGCACAUUCACCAGGGUUAUUUCUGGAAGGUGAAGGGGUCAGGUGUAGAAGAGGUGGCAAGAAUGACAAGUCUGUGGAAAACUGUUGGCCUUGAGACCACAGUGAACUGGUGGAAGGGGACUUGCUAAGUGUGGCCACAAGGUGGCAGUCACCUCCUGAAACCCCGUGUGAAACGUCAGCGGGGUUGAGAAAGGCCACGUCUCCAAGUUUCCAGGAGAGCCAAACCAGGACUCAGGAAAACCGGCCAGCUGAUUUGUAUGGGAGAUUGAUUUGUAAAAGAACAACAACAACAUAUGGCAGCAAGGAAAUGCAAAGCAAACAUCUACAAAUAUUUGAAUCCACCUGUCCCUCACCUACCAACUUCCCCCUCUACUACUCAUAAAGUGGUAGGACUCCUAAUGCCCCGCUUCCUUCCACCUGAGAACCAACCAGCACCCUGAUAUUUCAAAGCCAGACCUAAAGAACCAUGGUUGCCAAUAACCUCAAUGCCAAACCAAACAAUCCUAAUCACAUUUUUACUUUUCAAAUCCAGUCUCAGAGCAGAGCUGUAGAUUAAGGGACAAAAAGUCAUUGUGGAAUCUUUUCAAAUAGCUCUUGUAAAAGCAUCAGUUGGGAAAGAGUUUAUGAGUUCCUCUUUGUCCUCUCCUCUGGAGAAAAGACAGAACAUGCAAGAACACUAGAUACACCAAGCUAUGGGUGUUGAAAUAGACUAGCUGGUGACCUGGAUUUGCAAAUACCCUAGGGACAUGAAAACAUUUUUUCUUUUUCUUUUUCUUUUUUGUAACCUCCACCCAGAAUUUCAGGAAAGGUGGGGCCACAUGCCCAGGAUAUAUGGUAUUCUACUGCUUGCUUUCUUAUCACCAGAAUACUAGUCAAUCUGAUUUCUUAGUUCCAUGUCUUUUCUUCCAAGGAGGUAGGGCAUGGGGUUGGGGGACACUUUCCGCCUUCCUUGCAUCUCACUGUCCACUCUUAAAUUUUUAUUAAGAAACCUCUGAAAGAUUCAAAAUUCAGUUCAGUUUCAAUAAUCCCAAAGAAGUUGGGAUAAUUUGUUUUCACUUGCUUCAAACUUGCCACGGCUGCAGGAGGAGUCUCAGGACCUCAGAGGAAUGGGGCAGAUGUGUGAAGUCUGGGAGUCUGCCUCCCACCCAGAUGCCAGGAGCUGCAUACUCAGCUCUGCCUCACUUCCCUGAUGGUCUGCUUUCAUCCAGGUUACCAUGACAGAGAGGGUCUAUCCUCUAAAGAAAGCUGAGUUACAGGCUGGCCCCUGGGGUUGUUCCUGUAGCCUCUCUUUGACCACAUUCCUGAAGAUGUUUAGCUGAAUGCCUCCUCAAACCUUUGCUUCUUCCAUAACCCAAUCCUACACAUAUGUGAUAAAGCUUUCUUCAACAAUACUGGGUCAUUUGGACACUACCAGUCCAGAUGAGAACUCACAGACCAAAUGAAAACUUUCAAAAGCAAGCAGGGAAAGUAACUCCUAUAUGCUUUAAGAUGAUGUAUUGGUGUAGAUUCAGGUCCAAUUUGAAAAAAUGUCUCUGGUUCUUUCUAAUUGUAUCCACUCUGGAUUUGUUUAUGCCAGUUCUACAUUCAUCAAGCCUUGAGAAACAGGUGGAAAGAAGAAAAAUAUAAAAUUAAGAAGAAGCUGAUGGAUCAUUGGAGAUUCAAAACAAGCCUUCUACCGGUGGCACCACACUGAAAGGCAGAGACAAGGCAGGAGCGGCCAUGGGAGAGGAAGCAGCAUUGGCUUCUCACGUUCUGGCCUCCAGCCUCCCACCAGAGCUUCUGCCAUUCACCCACUUAACUUGAGGAGAAACUAAGGCACCAAGGCCUGUCACUGCACCGAAAACCAGAAGCAGAAGGACUUUCUUUCUUUGCUCAACCAGUUCUGCCUGGAUCUGACUUUUGCGUCACCAGUAGUCACAAGCCUGAUUUGUCAUCUCCAGCAUUCUGUUUAUUUUUUUAAGGUCAAUCUUUGCCUGAAACAUGACUUCAUUGCACCUGCAGCACUUCAUUGUCCAAAUGUCCUUGGCAAACCUCACAGUCUUUGGACAGUGUUGCAUUUUCUCCAAAGGGGAAAUCCUCUCUCCUUCCUCAAGCUUAAUAAGGCUCUUGCAGUGCAUCCAAAUAACACAGCUCUUGUUCCUCAGACACACUCAGCCCCCUCUGAUAACUUCAUAAAACAGCUCCUUAUUGUCUGGGCCAUGAAGCCAGGCUAAUGCUAAAGUUCCAGUUCAAAAACAUUUAACUCUAUUAUCCUUAUGAGGCCAGCUCUCCUGGGUACUGGCACUCACUCACUGGCACCAUGGAUUCAGGUCAGGUGGUGCAAACAUCUUCCCUGAGAAGCAAGCCAUACACCCAACAGGUCUAGAACACCUAGGUCACAAGAAAGGGUUUCAGUCCAGAUGCACUGUCAGUAAGUGAACACAAGGACAAGAAUGCAUGAACUGUUAUUUUCUUCCCAUCACUGGUUUAGCAGCCCCUAGGGAGACCCUGUGUUGCUCUUUAAUAUUCUGACAUGGAGCACUAAUAUGCUCAACACUGCCUCCAACAGGCAAAUGUUGGAAAUACACUUUCAGAGCUGGAUGGGACUCAAGAUCAUCUAAUAUAAUCCUCUCAUUUUAUUUCCUCUCAAGGAAACCAAGGGCAAGAAAGUUUAGGCAAUUUGCUCACAUUCACACAGGCAAUUAGUAACAGAGCUGAGUUCGGGUCUGGUAUAGGCUUUUUAAUUUGAUUCUCCACAAAUGAACACUAAGAUAAAUAGCAUUUAUUGCAUACCCACUAUUUACCAGAUACUGUGCAAAGGGCUUUACAUAUAUUACUUUACUAAAUCCUCACCAUAAACUUUAAGUCAGGUUUAACCAUUUUAUAGAAGAGGGAAGGGAGGGCCAGGAAGGUUAAGUAACAUGCUCAAAGUCACACAGCUACUAAAUAGAGCCAUAAUCUGAACCUUUGUCUAAUUUUGAAGCCCUUGAUUUUUCCACUUCAUGAGGCUGCUCUUUAUAUUUAUUUAGCUGAGUGACCACCAUCUUGGAUUUUACUAAUAUUCUUACAAGGGGGCUUUGAUGCCACUUCUUCUGACUUUUAAGAAAAGGAAAUUCUUGCAUUAUUUUUGCCAUGUACUCCAGGGGACCCUCAAUCUCAUCAUCAUGGGGAAUAAGAAACAUUCUGACAUCUCUUUCCUUUUCUUUCUUUUUAAAUUUGGUAGACGAGGGAGAGGGUCCCCAACAGAAUGAGAGGGGGAAGAUAAGAACCAGAACAUAAACCCAAUACCCCCCACCCCACUCUUUUGGGAACAUCCCAACAUUAGAAGAGUGGGAUAUCCAGUCAUUUUUUUCAAGCUGGAGCAGGCAGUGUAGCCAGGAUUGAGGAAGGAGAAGCCACAGAAUAAACAUGGCACAUGUUCUCAGAGCAUCAAUUUUACUCCAGAAUUUGGGAAGAAAGGAUUAUAUUAUUAGUGUAUUCAAACCAGUAUGGAUAGCACAAAUGCAGAUAUCCUAUAAAUUUUGAGGCUAACUCCAGCAGGUUGUAGACUGAUUUAGGCUACCUCCUUCCAGACUCCCAGGGGUACAAACACCUUCACAGUCCCCUGCGGGAGUACAUCAGUGGAAAUAUUUGGGGAAUGAGGCUAGAAGGCAGGAGAUACAUUCAGUUUACUUAUCCCCCUGGUUUCUUUUCCCCACUCCUUACCUGCCCCACAUCCCUAGUGGGUGGGAAGGCAUCAGAAGACAGUUGGCUACAAUAUCAGCUUUCUCUGCUACUUUGGGGAAUUUAGAAGGAAAUCAGUACUUGGCAACCUGGUAUUUUUAGCUGCCAGGCCAAAACUCCAGACAUAAACCCCUUCCCUUUAAUUGAAUGAUGUUUAUAUAUAAAGGAAUAGAUCUCCCCAAGAAAGAACCCCAGAACACUGGUUCCAUUCCAGUGUGGGGGCUGCUUGGGCAGCAGUGACACCUGUGCAUUAGAUGCAAUAGACACUUCAAUUCCUGCAAAAAUGUCGGCCAACUAAGUGCUCCUUUACCAACUGCGGAGGCCCAGACUCACACCAUGGUCCCACAGACUCAAGGUUUAGAAUCUAUGUGAGUCUAUUUUGGUUAACACACAGGCUCCUCCUUCCAAUCAUUCACACACACACACACACACACACACACACACACAUGCACACACACACAUGCAUGCACACAUACACAGGUGCACAUGCACAAACACACACAUCUAAUGAUUCCAACCUCGAAUACUCCCCAGGCCCAUGGGGAUGCCCAAGUACCCUAAGCAAAUCACUGUGACACUGAGGGGGUCAUUAACUGGGGCUCCGAGCAGCUGAAACCCACCCUGGUGGUCUCUAGAUUGUUGUUCUGAGAAAUCAUAAACACCAAAUCCUCCAAUCCCUUUGAAUUUGAGUUUGUCAUUUUAACCUUUAACAGCCUUUUCAGGUAAAAAUAACAAAGACCAAUUUAUUGACUUUGUAGCUACAAUGAGCUUGAAAAAGCGCUUACUUAAAAGAAAGACUGGAAGGAAGAAAAAAAAAAGAAAAUGGAGUACAUACUCCUCAGACGAUGCACACUUUAAUUAGCUAAAAUAAAAAUAAAAAUGUACAGAGGAAGGGAGAGGAAAAACCAACUUCUCUGAUCCUUUCAUGGCACUGUAGCUCAAAGACUGGAAUCUCUGCUUGUUAACCAUUGUUAACUAGUAUUUUUAGUCCUGGUUGCUUUUAGCCUCUGUAUAGUUCCUUUUUUAAACACAUUUUCUAUACGUUAAUAAAAGAUCCUGAAAG
rnacentral:lncRNA from 1 species